rnacentral:rRNA from 1 species
UACGAAGGGGGCUAGCGUUGUUCGGAAUUACUGGGCGUAAAGGGCUCGUAGGCGGCCAACUAAGUCGGACGUGAAAUCCCUCAGCUUAACUGGGGAACUGCGUCCGAUACUGGAUGGCUUGGAUUUGGGAGAGGGAUGCGGAAUUCCAGGUGUAGCGGUGAAAUGCGUAGAUAUCUGGAGGAACACCGGUGGCGAAGGCGGCAUCCUGGACCAAGUAUUGACGCUGAGGAGCGAAAGCCAGGGGAGCAAAGCGGG